UGUAAGGAAUUAAUUGCAUAAAUUGUUUUUACUCAAAAAUUGAUAUUUCAAACAAAAUAAGAAGUGAAGUUUAACUUACGUCAUAUCUUUUAUAAUACUCAUAAUGGAUACUCCUAACCAACCACUAAAUUUCAAAUUUCCAAAACGCACUUUUGGAAUAAAAAAUCCUGAACAGUGCUCAUUCAAUGUUCAGUGCUUGGCUUCACUAUGAUCCUGUAAACAUGAAGUCAUUGGGCCAACGACGGAAAACCGUCAAAGGAUAAUCGUUGUUGGGCCACUGUUGGCCCAACAAUGAUUAAUAAGUAUUGUAAAUACAGCUGUUGGGCCAACGUUGAACCAACUUUAAAUUUCAGUCACAGAUAUCUCUGCAUUGGCCCGAUAUUGAUUUUCAGGGAAAGACUUAUACAGAGAAAACAUCGUUGGCCCAACGUUGGGCCAACGUUGGUCCAUUAGAAGUAAUAAUAUAAUAAUUGUAUAUUUUACAGGUCACUGUUUUAUCACAAGCCCCCACAGGUAUACACAGGUUGUGUAGCUGUAACAUGCAAUAUUUAAUUAAUUAUUAAACACUUUUCUGCACCAAUUCAUAAUCAGUUAAAUUUGGGCUAAUUGAACUAAAAACUUAUCUGCAGCCGUAAUGAUAUUUUGAACUAUUUCAAAUCUACUACCUUGAAAAAACUGUGAAAAAAGUAUUGAAAAAAACCCUUACUAACUCUAUAACAAAUAUCUAAUUUUAUACAAUCAUAAAAUGUUUACAAUAAAUCUGUUGAAUAUUCCAGAGCAUGAACUCUCGUUAACCCGAGUUAUGUAAGAAAUCCCAGAAAAUGUGGUUAAUUUUACUCUCUAGGCCAGAUUUCUAGCUUUUUAGACAUGUGAAGUAAAGGAAACUAUUAUACAUGUGAUAGGUCUAGGUUUAACAAAAACCCGGUCUUCCAGCUAUAAACUGGUGCUGUUCAAGGGAGUAAUAAUGGAGUGCCUAGCACUGUGGUGCACAGGAAAAAAUAAAAAUAUAAAAAGCUGCAACUUCAGUGAGAAAAGAAAACAAACAAACAGAACUUGGAUAUAUAAUGAGUUAAUAUACAGACAGUAAUUCACUUUAGUAGGAUUUAAUUAGUGACUGCAAUAAGAAAAAUAUUUAGAUUUAUAAAAGACUGGAAACAAUAUUUUACAUGUUGUAGUGUUGAAAUAUUCUGUUAUAUUUCUUCAGGAAAAUUGCAAACAAACUUUAAAUAAAUGUUAGAUUUCUUUUUGUUAAAUGUUAACAAAAUCACAACUAUUUGAAAAUAAAACAUGUAUUAAACAAU